rnacentral:rRNA from 1 species
CCCUUAGAUGUUCUGGGCCGCACGCGCGCUACACUGACGAAUGCAACGAGCUUAUAACCUUGGCCGAAAGGUCUGGGUAAUCUCCAAAUUUCGUCGUGAUGGGGAUAGAUUAUUGCAAUUAUUAAUCUUCAACGAGGAAUGCCUAGUAAGCGCAAGUCAUCAGCUUGCGUUGAUUACGUCCCUGCCCUUUGUACACACCGCCCGUCGUUCCUACCGAUUGAGUGAUCCGGUGAAUAAUUCGGACUGCAGCAAUGUUCAGCUUCUGAAUGUUGCAGUGGAAAGUUUAGUGAACCUUAUCACUUAGAGGAAGGAGAAGUCGUAACA